rnacentral:rRNA from 1 species
CCCUUAGAUGUUCUGGGCUGCACGCGCGCUACACUGACACAUUCAUCAAGUUUACCACCUUGGCUGAGAGGCCUGGGUAAUCUUUUCAAAGUGUGUCGUGAUGGGGAUAGAUGAUUGCAAUUAUUCAUCUUCAACGAGGAAUGCCUAGUAAACGCAAGUCAUCAGCUUGCAUUGAUUACGUCCCUGCCCUUUGUACACACCGCCCGUCGCUACUACCGAUUGAAUGGUUUAGUGAGCUCCACGGAUUGCUGACCACGGUUGGGUAACCUUCUGAGGUCGGUGAGAGGUGGAUCAAACUUGACUAUUUAGAGGAAGUAAAAGUCGUAACA